CAGUUGUUGCUAUUGUUCAGUCGCUCAGUCAUGUCUGACUCUUUGUGACCCCAGGGACUGCAGUAUGCCAGGCUUCCCUGUCCCUCACUAUUUCCUGGAGUUGGCUUGAACUUGUGUCCAUUGAGUUGAUGAUGCCAUUCAACCACCUCAUCCUCUGUAGUUAACAUUUAUUGAGUCAUGUCUGAGGCAGAGAGAGAUGACUUAAGUAAUUUCCCCAAAGCUGGUAAAUCACAACUUAGUGUUGGAUAAGUAGUGGUUUGGUGGGUGAAGAAGAGGUAGAAGUCUGGCCCAGAGCAAAGACCACCAGGAGCAAAUGUUUCAAGCUAGGAGAUAGCACAGCAUAUUCAAACAAUCUCAAGGUGGAUUCUUUACCUGCAUGUGAUAUGAAACAAAGGUUCUCAGCCCACCAUUCAACUAUGUCAUAGUACUGCAGAUAAAGCUCUGUUAUACUCCACAAGGCAGGAAGGAAUGAGUCAAUACAUUGGAAGCUGUAUUGGGUUUCUUUCUGCUAAAGAUAACAGAACAGCUCACUGGAAAUAGCUAAAGAAUUGGCAACUGAUUAUUUGAAAUAACAAGAAAGCCAAAAAUAGGGUGACUCGGUGACUGUGUCAUGGUCAGGGACCCAGAUGCUGUCUCUUGCUCUGCCAUCCCCUGCAGGCUGGCAGAAUCUCACUCGGUUGUAAGGAGGUUCUGUAAUCUCAGGAGCUGCGUGCAAAAAUGACCACAUUCGGUGACACUCAAGAAGAGCGUUUUCUUCCCACGAGGACUUUCUGGAAGAUGGUGAAUUUAAGGGAGCACGGAGGAAGUUCUAUGACUUCUACCACUUGGAGAAAAAACAGAGAACUGAAAUCCAACUAAGCUUCUGGCUACUGAUGCACUCGAGAAGCAUGAGGACCUAGGACACUGUGACUUCCUUUAAAGUCUGUAAGAGUCAUCAGUCAGGGUCUCAGCAACAAGCAGACAG
ensembl:lncRNA